ensembl:misc_RNA 7SK 7SK RNA
AAAUAUGAGGGCAACCUUGUUGAGAUGUCCUUCACCUCCCUGAUGGCCAGGGCUGGUUAGAUGGGUUUCUCCCCUCACCGCUCCGCAUGCAUCCUUCCCAAAGCUGCCCACCCAGCUGAAGAGGACAACCUUCCUCAUAGACAGACUGGUCUUAAGUCAAGGAUGUAAAAGUAGCCUCACUCCCCUGCUAGAGCCUCUAAACGGUCUCUCAAGAACAUGACGCAUGCCGGGCGGUGGUGGUGCACACCUUUAGUCCCAGCACUCAGGAGGCAGAGGUAGGUGGAUCUCUGUGAG